AAUGCACAUAUUGUGAGCUCGAUGAGUAGGGCGGGACACGUGGUAUCCUGUCUGAAUAUGGGGGGACCAUCCUCCAAGGCUAAAUACUCCUGACUGACCGAUAGUGAACCAGUACCGUGAGGGAAAGGCGAAAAGAACCCCGGCGAGGGGAGUGAAAAAGAACCUGAAACCGUGUACGUACAAGCAGUGGGAGCACGCUUAGGCGUGUGACUGCGUACCUUUUGUAUAAUGGGUCAGCGACUUAUAUUCUGUAGCAAGGUUAACCGAAUAGGGGAGCCGAAGGGAAACCGAGUCUUAACUGGGCGUUAAGUUGCAGGGUAUAGACCCGAAACCCGGUGAUCUAGCCAUGGGCAGGUUGAAGGUUGGGUAACACUAACUGGAGGACCGAACCGACUAAUGUUGAAAAAUUAGCGGAUGACUUGUGGCUGGGGGUGAAAGGCCAAUCAAACCGGGAGAUAGCUGGUUCUCCCCGAAAGCUAUUUAGGUAGCGCCUCGUGAAUUCAUCUCCGGGGGUAGAGCACUGUUUCGGCAAGGGGGUCAUCCCGACUUACCAACCCGAUGCAAACUGCGAAUACCGGAGAAUGUUAUCACGGGAGACACACGGCGGGUGCUAACGUCCGUCGUGAAGAGGGAAACAACCCAGACCGCCAGCUAAGGUCCCAAAGUCAUGGUUAAGUGGGAAACGAUGUGGGAAGGCCCAGACAGCCAGGAUGUUGGCUUAGAAGCAGCCAUCAUUUAAAGAAAGCGUAAUAGCUCACUGGUCGAGUCGGCCUGCGCGGAAGAUGUAACGGGGCUAAACCAUGCACCGAAGCUGCGGCAGCGACGCUUAUGCGUUGUUGGGUAGGGGAGCGUUCUGUAAGCCUGUGAAGGUGUACUGUGAGGUAUGCUGGAGGUAUCAGAAGUGCGAAUGCUGACAUAAGUAACGAUAAAGCGGGUGAAAAGCCCGCUCGCCGGAAGACCAAGGGUUCCUGUCCAACGUUAAUCGGGGCAGGGUGAGUCGACCCCUAAGGCGAGGCCGAAAGGCGUAGUCGAUGGGAAACAGGUUAAUAUUCCUGUACUUGGUGUUACUGCGAAGGGGGGACGGAGAAGGCUAUGUUGGCCGGGCGACGGUUGUCCCGGUUUAAGCGUGUAGGCUGGUUUUCCAGGCAAAUCCGGAAAAUCAAGGCUGAGGCGUGAUGACGAGGCACUACGGUGCUGAAGCAACAAAUGCCCUGCUUCCAGGAAAAGCCUCUAAGCAUCAGGUAACAUCAAAUCGUACCCCAAACCGACACAGGUGGUCAGGUAGAGAAUACCAAGGCGCUUGAGAGAACUCGGGUGAAGGAACUAGGCAAAAUGGUGCCGUAACUUCGGGAGAAGGCACGCUGAUAUGUAGGUGAAGCGACUUGCUCGUGGAGCUGAAAUCAGUCGAAGAUACCAGCUGGCUGCAACUGUUUAUUAAAAACACAGCACUGUGCAAACACGAAAGUGGACGUAUACGGUGUGACGCCUGCCCGGUGCCGGAAGGUUAAUUGAUGGGGUCAGCGCAAGCGAAGCUCUUGAUCGAAGCCCCGGUAAACGGCGGCCGUAACUAUAACGGUCCUAAGGUAGCGAAAUUCCUUGUCGGGUAAGUUCCGACCUGCACGAAUGGCGUAAUGAUGGCCAGGCUGUCUCCACCCGAGACUCAGUGAAAUUGAACUCGCUGUGAAGAUGCAGUGUACCCGCGGCAAGACGGAAAGACCCCGUGAACCUUUACUAUAGCUUGACACUGAACAUUGAGCCUUGAUG
rnacentral:rRNA from 1 species